GUACACUCCUGCGGGAGGCAGCAGUGGGGAAUAUUGCACAAUGGGCGCAAGCCUGAUGCAGCCAUGCCGCGUGUAUGAAGAAGGCCUUCGGGUUGUAAAGUACUUUCAGCGGGGAGGAAGGCAAUACGGUUAAUAACCGUGUUGAUUGACGUUACCCGCAGAAGAAGCACCGGCUAACUCCGUGCCAGCAGCCGCGGUAAUACGGAGGGUGCAAGCGUUAAUCGGAAUUACUGGGCGUAAAGCGCACGCAGGCGGUCUGUCAAGUCGGAUGUGAAAUCCCCGGGCUCAACCUGGGAACUGCAUUCGAAACUGGCAGGCUUGAGUCUUGUAGAGGGGGGUAGAAUUCCAGGUGUAGCGGUGAAAUGCGUAGAGAUCUGGAGGAAUACCGGUGGCGAAGGCGGCCCCCUGGACAAAGACUGACGCUCAGGUGCGAAAGCGUGGGGAGCAAACAGGAUUAGAUACCCUAGUAGUCCCAUGAU
rnacentral:rRNA from 1 species